AUUGAACGCUGGCGGCAUGCCUUACACAUGCAAGUCGAACGGCAGCACGGGUGCUUGCACCUGGUGGCGAGUGGCGAACGGGUGAGUAAUACAUCGGAACAUGUCCUGUAGUGGGGGAUAGCCCGGCGAAAGCCGGAUUAAUACCGCAUACGAUCUACGGAUGAAAGCGGGGGACCUUCGGGCCUCGCGCUAUAGGGUUGGCCGAUGGCUGAUUAGCUAGUUGGUGGGGUAAAGGCCUACCAAGGCGACGAUCAGUAGCUGGUCUGAGAGGACGACCAGCCACACUGGGACUGAGACACGGCCCAGACUCCUACGGGAGGCAGCAGUGGGGAAUUUUGGACAAUGGGCGAAAGCCUGAUCCAGCAAUGCCGCGUGUGUGAAGAAGGCCUUCGGGUUGUAAAGCACUUUUGUCCGGAAAGAAAUCGUUGGCCCUAAUACGGUCGGGGGAUGACGGUACCGGAAGAAUAAGCACCGGCUAACUACGUG
rnacentral:rRNA from 1 species